CUAAGUAAUAUCGUGACUAUAGAUAUCUGUUAGGACCACUAUAGUUGAUAUGGUCGUGGUCAUAGAUUGUACCAUGGUUUGGCCAGCCAGAAGUGGGCCUGAGUAAAUUGUUGUAUCUGUAUUUGAUCUGUCAUUCCACUUGGGUAGUUAAAAAUUUGUAUCUGCCCUCAAAGAUAGAAGUUUGUAACGACUUCGCGAAGCAUGACACGGAAUAUCUGUGCAUUUCAUGAUUUAUUUUGUUUUCUCUAUUAUUUGGCAUGAUAUGUGUAUAU
rnacentral:lncRNA from 1 species